rnacentral:rRNA from 1 species
UACGAAGGGGGGCUAGCGUUGCUCGGAAUCACUGGGCGUAAAGGGCGCGUAGGCGGCCAGUGCAAGUCAGUUGUGAAAUCUCCGAGCUUAACUCGGAAAGGUCAACUGAUACUGCUCGGCUAGAGUGCGGAAGGGGCAACUGGAAUUCUUGGUGUAGCGGUGAAAUGCGUAGAUAUCAAGAGGAACACCUGCGGCGAAGGCGGGUUGCUGGGCCGACACUGACGCUGAAGUGCGAAAGCUAGGGGAGCGAACGGG